GAUGAACGCUGGCGGCGUGCCUAAUACAUGCCAGUCGAGCGAACGGACGAGAAGCUUGCUUCUCUGAUGUUAGCGGCGGACGGGUGAGUAACACGUGGAUAACCUACCUAUAAGACUGGGAUAACUUCGGGAAACCGGAGCUAAUACCGGAUAAUAUUUUGAACCGCAUGGUUCAAAAGUGAAAGACGGUCUUGCUGUCACUUAUAGAUGGAUCCGCGCUGCAUUAGCUAGUUGGUAAGGUAACGGCUUACCAAGGCAACGAUGCAUAGCCGACCUGAGAGGGUGAUCGGCCACACUGGAACUGAGACACGGUCCAGACUCCUACGGGAGGCAGCAGUAGGAAAUCUUCCGCAAUGGGCGAAAGCCUGACGGAGCAACGCCGCGUGAGUGAUGAAGGUCUUCGGAUCGUAAAACUCUGUUAUUAGGGAAGAACAUAUGUGUAAGUAACUGUGCACAUCUUGACGGUACCUAAUCAGAAAGCCACGGCUAACUACGUG
rnacentral:rRNA from 1 species